rnacentral:rRNA from 1 species
AACCUGCCUGUAAGACUGGCAUAACUCCGGGAAACCGGAGCUAAUACCGGAUAGUUCCUUGAACCGCAUGGUUCACGGAUGAAAGACGGUUUCGGCUGUCACUUACAGAUGGACCCGCGGCGCAUUAGCUAGUUGGUGAGGUAACGGCUCACCAAGGCGACGAUGCGUAGCCGACCUGAGAGGGUGAUCGGCCACACUGGGACUGAGCCACGAUCAAAAUUCAUACGGGAGGCAGCAGUAGGGAAUCUUCCGCAAUGAACGAAAGUCUGACGGAGCAACGCCGCGUGAGUGAUGAAGGUUUUCGGAUCGUAAAGCUCUGUUGUUAGGGAAGAACAAGUGCAAGAGUAACUGCUUGCACCUUGACGGUACCUAACCAGAAAGCCACGGCUAACUACGUGCCAGCAGCCGCGGUAAUACGUAGGUGGCAAGCGUUGUCCGGAAUUAUUGGGCGUAAAGGGCUCGCAGGCGUUU